GCCAUGUGGAGCCAAGAUGGCUGACUAGAAGCAGUGGCGAUUGGGGGCUCCCGUGGAAAAGAACCAUAACAUAAAGUGCGAAUCCUGCACUGGCAACCGAGGUCUCCAGGCUCUGUUAUCACAACUCACUAGGCCGCUGGUGUGGCCCACAGAGAGGCAGGAAGAGCAGUGUGGUGCGGCAGCCCACGUGAGAGCCACAAUGACACAGGGCAGGGGAGCCCCCACUCCCCAGUCAAGGGAGGCUGUCAGUGAGCGUGCCACCCAGCCUGGGAAACCGUGCUUUGUCCAUGGAACUGUGCAACCCACGGAUUGGAAGAUCCCACUUGUGAGCCCACCACCAGGGCCUAGGGUCCUAACCAUGGAGCUGCACAGAUUCUCAAUAGCCAAUCAGCUAGAAUCUGCUUAAGCCUGUGAGCUCCCAGCGGGGAGGGGCGACCAGCACCACAGUUGCGGCUACCUGCUGUCUAAGCUGUUUGAGCUCCCUGGGGAAGGGGCGACAACAAAGUCUGGGACUGAUAGCUGCCUAACACAAUAAGUUCCCAGGGUGAGAGAAGGGCAGCAGCCAUCUCUUUAGCUCCAGGCUGCACUUUUCCCUUGAUGCAGCUGGGGAGGCUGGACAGCUUGGUCAGAGGGGGUAUCCUCCACAGCCAACACACCAGCUGUGGCAGCUCUGCGGACCAGCAGACUUAGUCUUUCCUCCAGCUAGUUCUGAGGAAUCCGGGCAGCCCAGACCAGUGCGUUUCCCCCAGGGAAGCAUACCCCCUCCACCAAGGGACAGUCAAAGUGCUUCGUUAAAGGGGUCCUGCUCCCUGUGCCACCCAACUGGGUAAGACCCUCCAACAGGGGUUGUCAGACACCCUAUAAAGCAGCAUUCCUACUGGCAUCAGGUCAGUGCUCCUCAAGGUCAGAGAUCCCAGAGGAAGGAGCAGGCACCCAUUUUUGCUGUUAUCCAGUCUCCUCGAGUGACAUCUCUAGGUGUGGGAGUGAACCAGAUGAAUAGGGCCUGAAGUGAACCCCCAG
rnacentral:lncRNA from 10 species